GGGUCAGUAGGUUGGUCGUGCCACCGGUACGUACUGGUCUCACUGAUUCCUCCUUCCUGAAGAACCGUAAUGCCAUUAAUUUGGUGUUGCGGGGAAACAGGACUGUUACUUUGGAAAAAUUAGAGUGUUUAAGGCAAGCUAACGCUUGAAUACAUUAGCAUGGAAUAAUGAAAUAGGACGAUCGAUCCUAUUUUGUUGGUUUCUAGGAUUGACGUA
rnacentral:rRNA from 1 species